rnacentral:rRNA from 1 species
CUCCUACGGGAGGCUGCAGUGGGGAAUAUUGCACAAUGGGCGGAAGCCUGAUGCAGCAACGCCGCGUGAGGGAUGACGGCCUUCGGGUUGUAAACCUCUUUUAGCAGGGAAGAAGCGAAAGUGACGGUACCUGCAGAAAAAGCACCGGCUAACUACGUGCCAGCAGCCGCGGUAAUACGUAGGGUGCAAGCGUUAUCCGGAAUUAUUGGGCGUAAAGAGCUCGUAGGCGGUUUGUCGCGUCUGCUGUGAAAUCCCGAGGCUCAACCUCGGGCCUGCAGUGGGUACGGGCAGACUAGAGUGCGGUAGGGGAGAUUGGAAUUCCUGGUGUAGCGGUGGAAUGCGCAGAUAUCAGGAGGAACACCGAUGGCGAAGGCAGAUCUCUGGGCCGUAACUGACGCUGAGGAGCGAAAGGGUGGGGAGCAAACAGGCUUAGAUACCCUGGUAGUCCACCCCGUAAACGUUGGGAACUAGUUGUGGGGUCCUUUCCACGGAUUCCGUGACGCAGCUAACGCAUUAA